ACACGCGAAAGGAGGUGAUCCGGAAAAAUGAUUUCUUUUCGGACUCGUGAGGUGACUGCGGGCUAAGGCCUGCCGUCGCACUCUGUGCACCUCGGCAGGCCAGUCUGCCGAAGACCAACGCAGUCACCCGACCCGUGAGUCGCCGGUCAGUCCGGCCGGCUCCCGUCCGACCCAGGCGCCUGGGCGGAAGGGACCGAGGCUCACGGGUCGUCUGCG
rnacentral:sRNA from 1 species